rnacentral:rRNA from 1 species
GACGAACGCUGGCGGCGUGCCUAAUACAUGCAAGUAGAACGCUGAAGGAGGAGCUUGCUUCUCUGGAUGAGUUGCGAACGGGUGAGUAACGCGUAGGUAACCUGCCUGGUAGCGGGGGAUAACUAUUGGAAACGAUAGCUAAUACCGCAUAAUAGUAGAUGUUGCAUGACAUUUGCUUAAAAGGUGCAAUUGCAUCACUACCAGAUGGACCUGCGUUGUAUUAGCUAGUUGGUGGGGUAACGGCUCACCAAGGCGACGAUACAUAGCCGACCUGAGAGGGUGAUCGGCCACACUGGGAAUGAGACACGGCCCAGACUCCUACGGGAGGCAGCAGUAGGGAAUCUUCGGCAAUGGACGGAAGUCUGACCGAGCAACGCCGCGUGAGUGAAGAAGGUUUUCGGAUCGUAAAGCUCUGUUGUAAGAGAAGAACGAGUGUGAGAGUGGAAAGUUCACACUGUGACGGUAGCUUACCAGAAAGGGACGGCUAACUACGUG